UGGUGGAGCGAUUUGUCUGGUUUAUCCCGAUAACGAACGAGACUCUGGCCUACUAAAUAGUGGGCGGAUUCUUUCUGUCCGCAACACUUCUUAGAGGGACGAGCGGUGUUCAGCCGCACGAGAUUGAGCAAUAACA
rnacentral:rRNA from 1 species